rnacentral:lncRNA from 1 species
CUUACCUCUUACAAAAAAAAAAAAAGAAAAAAGAAAAAAGUUCAUUUCUUCAUUCUGUUUGUAUCUAGCAAAACUGAAUGUCAAAAGUACCUUCUGUCCACACACAAAAUCUGCAUGUAUUGGUUGGUGGUCCUGCCCCCUAAAGAUCAAGCCCCCUACAUGAGUUUUACAGUAUAAAUACUCGUACUACCUUAUAAGGAAGCACUUAGUGGACUCCUUCAAGUUCCAUUUGCUAAUGAUUAACACACUGUCUGGGCUGGCCAGUUUCUCAUGCAUGCAGCUUGGUGAUUGAGCACAGUCAGGCCUUUGUAUUAAAACUGAAAAAUGGAAAAAACAAAUUCAAACUCUCAGAUGGCUUCUAGUUCAAUCUGUUCAGAUAAAUGUCAGCAGCCAGUUUACCGCAAACAAACAUUUAAAAUUGGUUUACCUCAGGAUGAUGUGCAGGAAACGGGUGAAGGCUAAACUUUGAGACACAGCCCUAGAUGUAGGACAGUCCUCUUCAAGUGCCCCAAUCCCAUGGUGACAGUGACACCCUGGUGGCGAGCCCGAGUGUGAUGGUUCAUUGCUGUGCGCAUUGCAUUGGAGUGACUGAACAACAAGGCUGUCACCAAAUCCCACACAU